CGAUUCGCAUGGGCGAAGCCUGACGCAGCGACGCCGCGUGGGUGAUGAAGGCCUUCGGGUUGUAAAGCCCUGUCAUGCGGAAAGAACAGUCUUACGGUUAAUACCCGUGAGAUUUGACGGUACCGCAGGAGGAAGCACCGGCUAACUCCGUGCCAGCAGCCGCGGUAAUACGGAGGGUGCAAGCGUUGUUCGGAAUUAUUGGGCGUAAAGGGCGCGUAGGCGGUAAUGAAAGUCAGAUGUGAAAUACUUCGGCUCAACUGAAGAACUGCAUCUGAAACUUCAUAACUAGAGUACGGAAGAGGGAAAUGGAAUUCCCGGUGUAGAGGUGAAAUUCGUAGAUAUCGGGAGGAACACCAGUGGCGAAGGCGAUUUCCUGGUCUGGUACUGACGCUGAGGCGCGAAAGUGUGGGGAGCAAACAGGAUUAGAUACCCUGGUAGUCCACACUGUAAACGGUGAACACUAGGUGUGGGAGGUGUAAUACCUUCUGUGCCGCAGCUAACGCGAUAAGUGUUCCGCCUGGGAAGUACGGCCGCAAGGUUGAAACUCAAAAAAAUUGACGGA
rnacentral:rRNA from 1 species